UACGUAGGGGGCAAGCGUUAUCCGGAUUUACUGGGUGUAAAGGGGGCGCAGACGGCGAUGCAAGCCAGGAGUGAAAGCCCGGGGCCCAACCCCGGGACUGCUCUUGGAACUGCGUGGCUGGAGUGCAGGAGGGGCAGGCGGAAUUCCUGGUGUAGUGGUGAAAUGCGUAGAUAUCAGGAGGAACACCGGUGGCGAAGGCGGCCUGCUGGACUGCAACUGACGUUGAGGCCCGAAAGCGUGGGGAGCAAACAGG
rnacentral:rRNA from 1 species